UCUCGGCGUGCUGGACGAGCGUGGAGGGUGAGCAGCUUCUGCAUGAGGUCGGCGUGAAGACCCUCGCGCUAGACCCUGUGCUGGACUACGUACCUUGGAUGGUGUCUGAUGGGGUGCACACUGACGAAAUUCAGCAGCAAAUGGAACACAAUCUGCUGAGGUUUGUCUGUGAUGCUUACCAGGGCGAGACUCAGCCGGCCUGCGUCGUCCUCUAACUCAGCCAACAUGUCAGCGCUUUGCGCAUGCAUCGAAGUAUCAAGCUGUUCCAUUGAAGCAAAAGCAUUUUUAUACAUUGUAUACAGCUUAUCAUGUCAUGUUAGAUCUUAUUUAAAAUUGCAAAAAAUAAUUCAAAUAUUAAAUAAAAAUUAAGUUAAAAACUUACGUUCACGGGUUGGCAGGACAAAUAAAACGUAAAUAGUGGAAUAACGUUCAUAUUUCAUUUGUUACGGAUUUUUUUCGUGAAUUAUAAGCUAGGUCUAUUGUGACAGUUUCGACCAGACAUUGAAUAAUUCUUCGGCAUUUGUCAACAAAUAUUAUUAGGUUUUUAUUUGAAGUUAAAUCAAAUUCAGCAUUGAUGUAUUAAGAGCAAAAUAAUUCAGACACAUGCGAAUGCGGCUCCAAAAACUGUCCAGAAUUGCACAGGUUUAGCCAUUUAUUAACACUGAUUAUACUUGUU